rnacentral:rRNA from 1 species
CCUACGGGAGGCAGCAGUGGGGAAUUUUGCGCAAUGCUCGUAAGAGUGACGCAGCGACGCCGCGUGAAUGACGAAGGCCUUCGGGUCGUAAAGUUCUUUCGACAGGGAAGUAAAUGCAUAUAAGUAACUGCGUAUGUAUUUACGGUACCUGUAUAAGCAGCCCCGGCUAACUCCGUGCCAGCAGCCGCGGUAAUACGGAGGGGGCGAGCGUUGUUCGGAGGGACUGGGCGUAAAGAGCACGUAGGCGGUGUUGUAAGUCAUUAGUCAAAGACUCGAGCUCAACUUUAGUAAGGCUAGUGAUACUAUAAUACUAGAGUGUCAGAGAGGAUUGCAGAAUUCCUGGUGUAGCGGUGAAAUGCGUAGAUAUCAGGAGGAAUACCGUUAGCGAAGGCGGCAAUCUGGCUGGAAACUGACGCUGAGGUGCGAAAGCGUGGGUAGCAAACAGGAUUAGAUACCCUUGUAGUC